rnacentral:lncRNA from 1 species
CUUUUUCUUACACAUAAUCUCCAGUCAUGCAGCAAAUUUUUACAGCUCUCUAUAAAAACUAUGUUGGAAUUACCAUUUCUCAUCCCUCCAAUACUACAGACCUUGGCUACAUGCCAUUAUUACACUGUAUUUUUGUUUAAAAAAUCUAGUUGUUCUCCUGAGCUUCUGUUAUCAACUGACUUGCCACUACUCAAGAUAUUUUCAUAACAGUAUCCAAAGUAUGAUUCUAUCAGUCCUCUGCUUUCAUUCUCUAGUGACUUUCAUUUUUUCUUAGCAUUUAAGCUCUCAGAAUCUUUUACAGAACUUGACCUGAUCUUGGCCCUUGUUUUCACUCUCACCACAUUUGUGCUUCUCUUCCUCUGUCUUCUUGUGUUUGAUUAACUCUGACCUUCCUGCUGUAAAUCAUUCCAAGAACAGGUCAAAGACCAAGCUUACUUCCCACUCUAGUGCAUUUGUACCUUCAGCUCCCACUGUCUGGGCCAUAGUAUCAUUGAUUUUGCAUAGAGGCUCACUUUCUUAAAUUUAUUUCCCCUUUUUCUUUUUUGGAGAUGUAACAACAUUUUUGUGUGUGUGGUACCGGGAAUCAAACAUGGGUCUUUGCACUUGUGAGGCAGUCGGCGGAACCACUGAGCUAAAUCCCUGGCCCUGGAGAUGUUACAACUUUUUAAUGAGAACUGAAGACCUUAUUUAUAAGUAGCUGUCCCGGCCCGCGGACAGGGUCUUGGAACUUACUAUGUAGCCCAAGCUGGCCUCUCGAACUCACAGCGAUCCUCCUGGCUUAGCCACUGGAGUGCUAGGAUCACAGGCAUGUGCCACUAUGCCUGGCUUGUAACAACAGUAUUACUAUCACAUUUGAGGAGAAUGAAGAUUGGAGAGAAUUCACACAUAUUUCUCUAUGAAAUUUACCAAACCAUUGAUCUAGUAGAUAUUCUUUGUUUUAAAAAUGGAGUUUCUUAAAGAGAGCUAUACUCCAAUGUUCACCAUAGCAUAAUUCACAGUUACUAAGAAAUGAAAACAACCAAAGUGUCCUUCAACAAAGAAUGGAUAAAGAAAGUGUGGUACAUAUACACAAUGAGAUAUAUUGAGCCAUAAGAAUGAAUGAAAUCUAUCAUUUGUGACAAUGCCAGUGAAACUGGAGGUUAUUAUGGUAAGUGAAAUAACCCAGACAUGUAUACCACAUGAUCUCAUCUAUAUGCAAAAUCUAAAAAUGUUGCUUUCCUACAGUUAAGGAUAUAAUAGUGAUGAUUAGAGGCUUGGGAAAGUAAGAAUGAGGGAGGGCUGAGGAAAAGUCUAUCAACUUACACUGUUACAAUUAGAUGGGAGUAUGUAGUUCUAUGUGAUAUUCCACAGCCUGAUGAAAAUAGAUAAUAAUGAUGUAUUAUCUAUUUCAAAAAUUAAAAAGAAAAGAUUUUGAAAAUUUUCACCAUAAACAGAUGAUUCAUGUUUAAGGAAAUAAAUACGUUCAACCAUAUUUAAAUAUUAUGCAAUCCAUAUGUGUAUCAAAACAUUACAUACUUAUAGUACCCCAUAGGUACAUGCAUUUUUUAUCUCUGUUAAAAGUAUAUUUAAGUUUAAAAAUAAAAAAUCUGUCUUAUAAGGUCAAUCCCUGUGUUUACUAGUUUUCAUCUCUUUUUUUCUUCCAAUAAUCCUAUGAUUGCUACCUCAUUUUUAAACAUCAUCUCUUUCCACUUUUAAUAAACCAUUGCUUUCGGCAACAUUACAGGCUAGAUUUUCCCUUGCUUUAUAAAAUCAUGUUGAUAAUGAUUUUACGCACUAUUUCUUUUGGUAGCUGUUUUAGAAAAGCAUAUACUUCUUUCCUCCAAUUCCUUUCCUUCCAUUUUGUGGAAGCCAUUGUAGUAAUAGCUAUUGUUAAAAUCAAUAAUGAUCUUUACAUUGCCAUGAAUAACAGUAAUUCUAAGUUUUUGUUUCACCUCUUCUAUCAAGAUAAUUUACCUAAUCUUCCUUGCAACUUUAUUUUCCCUCACUCCUUGUGACACUGACUUCCCUUUGAUUUUUCUCUGAAUUCUGUGGUGUGUCUUCUCUGGCCUUUUACUGGCUUCUCAUCCUCUUUGGCCCCUUAAUUUUAGAGUAUAUUAGAAUUAAGCCCCAGGCUAGGAGCUCUUAUCUCUUGUAUGUAUAUUGUAAGCCUCUACUACAUUUUGUACUGUUCAUGGCUUUAGAUACCAUGUGUAUUCUGAAUCCUGUGAAAUAUACCUUCAACCCACAUUUUUCACAAAUCUAUGUCUAAUUGAUGGUGUAAUUUAUUGUUCAAAUUAGAAUACACUUGAAUAUUAUGGGGGAAUUAAUAUUAAGUAUUCUGAGAAAACAUUUGUAAACCACGUCUUACACUGGCUGAACAGUUUUAAUGGUCCCUACAUCUAUACACAAUUGCCUACUCAUCAUACACAUUUGGAUGUUGCAACAAAGAUGAUUGAUUGUCCACCCAAUCCUUUUGCUAUUCUUCUCUAGUGAUAGGAUCCUCUAUUUUUACAUGAGCACAAGACAUUUUAAAACAAAAACUAAAUCCUAACAUUUCUUUUGUGGUUGUAGGUGACAAAGUGCCUUAUUUUGUACAAUAAAAUGUAAGAUAAUUUGGUAUGUGUAACUUCUAAAACCUGGUUUAAAUAUAGAAAAUAGGUCUACCUUGGAUUAUUCUCUUUAUUUUUUUUUUCUGGCUAGAGUAUAAAUGGACUCAUGUAGAACCUUUAAAUUGCAGCCACAUUUUAAGGAGAUGUUACAAAGAUAGAAGGGAUUUGGAUAUUAAAAUUGCUGACUCAACAAAACACUCCCUGAACUUCCUGUGUUUAUGUGAAAGAUAAGUAACACUUAUGUUGUUAUAGCCAAUGUUAAUUUACUAUUGAUUAAAAUUAAACUUAGCUCAUACAGAUGAGGGUUUCUACCAUUUAUCUAUUCAACAAAUAAUUAUUCAGCAGUUAUUUCUGUUGUGGGCAUUUGGGAUAUACUAAUGAACAGAAAAUGGGUCUUCUCAGAGGAUCCAUGCUAGAGGAUAUAGUCUUAAAAUAAUGUCAAAAGGAAAGUUAACAUAUUAAAUAACAAAUAAUUUAAAACAUUAGAAUGAUAAAGCAUAAGGGGGAAAAGAAGAUAGUGCCAGAGGGGAUUAGAAAAUCUGGUAAUUGGGGAAACUUGAUAGUCUAAAUGAGGUCAUCUCUUAAAUAUGAGAGACCUUAGGCAAGCGACUUUGAACAAGUAGUUGAACAAGGUGGGUAGUUUACCUGUGAACAUAUUGGAGGAUGGCCAUUCUGUGCAAAGAGAAUAAUCAUAGAGACCCUAAAUGAGGAAUGUGCUUGUCUAGGGAGACAUGAGCUAGUUCAGCUGGAAUCGAGUGAGUAAAUUAAUCUGAAAAGUGCAGUUUAUGAAGUUGUGAAGAUUCAGAUUUCACAGGGACUGUUGACCAGAGAGAGGAUAUGAUUUUCCUUUGAAAAAGAUAGAGAGGUAUUGAAGGAUUCUCUAUUGAAACAUGAUGUGACUUAGAUUUUAAGAAGUUUACCAUCUCUAGUAUGAGAAUAUGCUGUAAGGGUAUCAAGUGUAGACAAGAAUAGAAGCAAGGGCAGCAUUUUAUAGCUUUUUACAAAUAUCAGGAUGAGGAUAAUGAUUGUUAACUCAAAACAUCCUGAGUAAAGUGCUUGAUUUCUCAUCUACCACUGGUCACCUCCCCAAAUGCUUCUUUUUGCAGGCUUCCAUAUCUCAAUAAAUAAUAACUUAUUUUUUCCAAGCUUAAAACUACAAAACCACCUAGAAUCAUUCAGAGAUGAAAGCAGAGACCUUAUCAAUAUGUAGCUUUUUAUGAAACUUGCUCCUGCCUUUCUCAGUUGUCUUUGUUCAGUCAUUUUUACAAUUAUGUACAAUAAUGAAAUAUUCUCCCCAAAUUGUUUUAGAUGUUGAAGCUAAUAACACUGAAUUUCCAUCACUAAAAUAUGUUUUGUUACUACAGGUCUUUACAAUUACAUAUAAUUACAAGUUACUACUAUUUGUUAAAUAUAAAUAAAGUACAAUUUCUAUUCAUUGGCCAUUUGUAGCACUUCCUGUGUUUCAUUGCAAUUUAUAGUCAAACGCAAUAGCACUGACUCCUCUUUGCUCUUCAAGUAAAAAAAAAAUUCAUCAAUACUUUUAUUUCAUUACUUAACUAAUUCUUCAAGUAAGAGUCAUAAAGUGAGGAAAAUGAGGAGUUUUGCAUUACACAUUGUCAUUGUUUCUGAACUGCAUUAAAGUCCUGGCCUGAAGUAUAUGUGUUAAUGAAUUGAAAGUCUAAAUUAAAUAAUCGCGAGUACACGAAUCAUAAUUUUCCAUCAAGUGAACGAAAGUCAGUACAAACGUUAAAAAUUUCAUUACAUUUUCUUGAACUUUAACCUCUGAUAUCACAAAAGAAGGCUUGAGUUUAAAAGGAAUAUAUAAGAUUUUGUUUUGAAAUAGUUAAAAAGUUCUGACCAAGACAGCUAUAUUAAUAUCUACAGAGACUACAAAGAAAACAUGUUAUGUUCAUUUAAUCACAUACAGAUCAACAUUGAGACAAUGUGAAUGUAUAAAUAAAUGUAAAGAACUCAUUUUACUCUUCACUUGAUGGAUG